GAAAAUAUACUAAUAUCGAUAACUUCUAUAGUCAGAAAAUAAAAAAUAUAAUUUUAAAUUUUAAUUUGUGUAGUUUACUAUGACGUAUGGAAUUUACUUAUAUUAACUUUAAAACUUGUGGACCCACACAGGACAAUUCCGGUGUCUUGCCAGAGAUCCAUAACAAUCGCCAGCAAAUAGUACAAAGACCAAACAGUAUUUCAACUUAAACAUAUUUGUUUUAUAUUCAAAACAGUAGAAGCACUUUGUAUUUGUAUGCGCAUUGGUCAGCGCUUAUCAAACACGUUUCAAUGAUUUAAAAUAAAAGACUACAAUGUU